rnacentral:rRNA from 1 species
CAAUAGCGUAUAUUUAAGUUGUUGCAGUUAAAAAGCUCGUAGUUGGAUUUCGGGUUGGCUUCAGCGGUCUCGCUUUGCGUUUGUACUGCCGCAGCCUUCCUUCUUGCUGGGGACGGUCCUCCGGGCUUCAUUGCUUGGGGUCUGGAAUCAGCGACGUUACUUUGAGUAAAUUAGAGUGUUCAAAGCAAGCCUACGCUCUGAAUAUAAUAGCAUGGGAUAACACGACAGGACUCUGGCCUAUCGUGUUGGUCUGUAGGACCAGAGUAAUGAUUAAGAGGGACAGUCGGGGGCAUUCGUAUUCCGUUGUCAGAGGUGAGAUUCUUGGAUUUACGGAAGACGAACAUCUGCGAAAGCAUUUGCCAAGGAUGUUUUCAUUGA